rnacentral:rRNA from 1 species
GAUGAUCAGUCACAUUGGGACUGAGACACGGCCCAAACUCCUACGGGAGGCAGCAGUGGGGAAUAUUGGACAAUGGGCGCAAGCCUGAUCCAGCCAUGCCGCGUGAGUGAUGAAGGCCUUAGGGUUGUAAAGCUCUUUCACCGGAGAAGAUAAUGACGGUAUCCGGAGAAGAAGCCCCGGCUAACUUCGUGCCAGCAGCCGCGGUAAUA